rnacentral:rRNA from 1 species
UUAAGUUAUUAAGGGCGCACGGUGGAUGCCUUGGCACUAGAAGCCGAUGAAGGACUAUUACUAACGACGAUAUGCUUUGGGGAGCUGUAAGUAAGCUUUGAUCCAGAGAUUUCCGAAUGGGGAAACCCAGCAUGAGUUAUGUCAUGUUAUCGAUAUGUGAAUACAUAGCAUAUCAGAAGGCACACCCGGAGAACUGAAACAUCUUAGUACCCGGAGGAAGAGAAAGAAAAUUCGAUUCCCUUAGUAGCGGCGAGCGAAACGGGAAGAGCCCAAACCAACAAGCUUGCUUGUUGGGGUUGUAGGACACUCUAUACGGAGUUACAAAGGACGACAUUAGACGAAUCAUCUGGAAAGAUGAAUCAAAGAAGGUAAUAAUCCUGUAGUCGAAAAUGUUGUCUCUCUUGAGUGGAUCCUGAGUACGACGGAGCACGUGAAAUUCCGUCGGAAUCUGGGAGGACCAUCUCCUAAGGCUAAAUACUCUCUAGUGACCGAUAGUGAACCAGUACCGUGAGGGAAAGGUGAAAAGCACCCCGGAAGGGGAGUGAAAUAGAACCUGAAACCGUGUGCUUACAAGUAGUCAGAGCCCGUUAAUGGGUGAUGGCGUGCCUUUUGUAGAAUGAACCGGCGAGUUACGAUUUGAUGCAAGGUUAAGCAGUAAAUGUGGAGCCGUAGCGAAAGCGAGUCUGAAUAGGGCGUUUAGUAUUUGGUCGUAGACCCGAAACCAGGUGAUCUACCCUUGGUCAGGUUGAAGUUCAGGUAACACUGAAUGGAGGACCGAACCGACUUACGUUGAAAAGUGAGCGGAUGAACUGAGGGUAGCGGAGAAAUUCCAAUCGAACCUGGAGAUAGCUGGUUCUCUCCGAAAUAGCUUUAGGGCUAGCCUCAAGUGAUGAUUAUUGGAGGUAGAGCACUGUUUGGACGAGGGGCCCCUCUCGGGUUACCGAAUUCAGACAAACUCCGAAUGCCAAUUAAUUUAACUUGGGAGUCAGAACAUGGGUGAUAAGGUCCGUGUUCGAAAGGGAAACAGCCCAGACCACCAGCUAAGGUCCCAAAAUAUAUGUUAAGUGGAAAAGGAUGUGGCGUUGCCCAGACAACUAGGAUGUUGGCUUAGAAGCAGCCAUCAUUUAAAGAGUGCGUAAUAGCUCACUAGUCGAGUGACACUGCGCCGAAAAUGUACCGGGGCUAAACAUAUUACCGAAGCUGUGGAUUGUCCUUUGGACAAUGGUAGGAGAGCGUUCUAAGGGCGUUGAAGCAUGAUCGUAAGGACAUGUGGAGCGCUUAGAAGUGAGAAUGCCGGUGUGAGUAGCGAAAGACGGGUGAGAAUCCCGUCCACCGAUUGACUAAGGUUUCCAGAGGAAGGCUCGUCCGCUCUGGGUUAGUCGGGUCCUAAGCUGAGGCCGACAGGCGUAGGCGAUGGAUAACAGGUUGAUAUUCCUGUACCACCUAUAAUCGUUUUAAUCGAUGGGGGGGAAGCAGUAGGAUAGGCGAAGCGUGCGAUUGGAUUGCACGUCUAAGCAGUAAGGCUGAGUAUUAGGCAAAUCCGGUACUCGUUAAGGCUGAGCUGUGAUGGGGAGAAGACAUUGUGUCUUCGAGUCGUUGAUUUCACACUGCCGAGAAAAGCCUCUAGAUAGAAAAUAGGUGCCCGUACCGCAAACCGACACAGGUAGUCAAGAUGAGAAUUCUAAGGUGAGCGAGCGAACUCUCGUUAAGGAACUCGGCAAAAUGACCCCGUAACUUCGGGAGAAGGGGUGCUCUUUAGGGUUAACGCCCAGAAGAGCCGCAGUGAAUAGGCCCAAGCGACUGUUUAUCAAAAACACAGGUCUCUGCUAAACCGUAAGGUGAUGUAUAGGGGCUGACGCCUGCCCGGUGCUGGAAGGUUAAGAGGAGUGGUUAGCUUCUGCGAAGCUACGAAUCGAAGCCCCAGUAAACGGCGGCCGUAACUAUAACGGUCCUAAGGUAGCGAAAUUCCUUGUCGGGUAAGUUCCGACCCGCACGAAAGGCGUAACGAUUUGGGCACUGUCUCAACGAGAGACUCGGUGAAAUCAUAGUACCUGUGAAGAUGCAGGUUACCCGCGACAGGACGGAAAGACCCCGUGGAGCUUUACUGUAGCCUGAUAUUGAAAUUCGGCACAGCUUGUACAGGAUAGGUAGGAGCCUUUGAAACGUGAGCGCUAGCUUACGUGGAGGCGCUGGUGGGAUACUACCCUAGCUGUGUUGGCUUUCUAACCCGCACCACUUAUCGUGGUGGGAGACAGUGUCAGGCGGGCAGUUUGACUGGGGCGGUCGCCUCCUAAAAGGUAACGGAGGCGCUCAAAGGUUCCCUCAGAAUGGUUGGAAAUCAUUCAUAGAGUGUAAAGGCAUAAGGGAGCUUGACUGCGAGACCUACAAGUCGAGCAGGGUCGAAAGACGGACUUAGUGAUCCGGUGGUUCCGCAUGGAAGGGCCAUCGCUCAACGGAUAAAAGCUACCCCGGGGAUAACAGGCUUAUCUCCCCCAAGAGUUCACAUCGACGGGGAGGUUUGGCACCUCGAUGUCGGCUCAUCGCAUCCUGGGGCUGUAGUCGGUCCCAAGGGUUGGGCUGUUCGCCCAUUAAAGCGGUACGCGAGCUGGGUUCAGAACGUCGUGAGACAGUUCGGUCCCUAUCCGUCGUGGGCGUAGGAAAUUUGAGAGGAGCUGUCCUUAGUACGAGAGGACCGGGAUGGACAUACCUCUGGUGUACCAGUUGUCGUGCCAACGGCAUAGCUGGGUAGCUAUGUGUGGACGGGAUAAGUGCUGAAAGCAUCUAAGCAUGAAGCCCCCCUCAAGAUGAGAUUUCCCAACUUCGGUUAUAAGAUCCCUCAAAGAUGAUGAGGUUAAUAGGUUCGAGGUGGAAGCAUGGUGACAUGUGGAGCUGACGAAUACUAAUCGAUCGAAGACUUAAUCAA